UCCAGUCAGUGGGGCUGGUGCAGGAGAGCGCUGGGCUGGGCUGUGGGGAGGGGGCUCUGUGUCGGUACAAUGAGGGGCUGGGGCCGUGUCACUCAGUCUCUCUCUCUCUCUCUGCCCACGAGGAAACGUGGCCCCGUCUCUGAUCACUCUGUCUCGCUGCUUCCAGCUAGGUCUCUGCGAAGGAAGAACAGGGAACACGUCCAGCCUGAAACCAGCAGUGCCCCACAAGAACUUUCCACUGGACAUCUUCAGUGGCCACCUGAAAUCCCUCAGUUCUGAUACCUCGGAGAUCUGGCCAGGAAACACCACGCGUCCACAGCCGCAGACAGACGAGAUACCGACAUAUGCGACCAUCAUUCCAAAGCGGGACAGGUGUCAAAUCUCCAGUUGCUGAAAGGCAGGGCUCAGCAGUGCGCAGGAACAUCACAGAACCUCCCCAAGUCAGAGGAAAAUGUAGAGGCCGUGCAGCAAGAAGGUGGAGAACCAUGUCUAGGGCCACAGAUAGACAAUG